rnacentral:rRNA from 1 species
GAUGAACGCUGGCGGCGUGCCUAAUACAUGCAAGUCGAGCGAACAGACGAGGAGCUUGCUCCUCUGACGUUAGCGGCGGACGGGUGAGCAACACGUGGAUAACCUACCUAUAAGACUGGGAUAACUUCGGGAAACCGGAGCUAAUACCGGAUAAUAUAUUGAACCGCAUGGUCCAAUAGUGAAAGACGGUUUUGCUGUCACUUAUAGAUGGAUCCGCGCCGCAUUAGCUAGUUGGUAAGGUAACGGCUUACCAAGGCAACGAUGCGUAGCCGACCUGAGAGGGUGAUCGGCCACACUGGAACUGAGACACGGUCCAGACUCCUACGGGAGGCAGCAGUAGGGAAUCUUCCGCAAUGGGCGAAAGCCUGACGGAGCAACGCCGCGUGAGUGAUGAAGGUCUUCGGAUCGUAAAACUCUGUUAUUAGGGAAGAACAAAUGUGUAAGUAACUAUGCACGUCUUGACGGUACCUAAUCAGAAAGCCACGGCUAACUACGUG